CACAGGGCUCCCAAUGGGAGGAGC
rnacentral:misc_RNA from 1 species